rnacentral:ncRNA from 2 species
UGCCUGGGCGCGGGGUGCCGGUCGGGGCCGGCUGAGAUCACACCCGUGAACCUGAUCUAGUUCGUACUAGCGAAGGAACGUCCGGUGAGCAGUUU